GACGAACGCUGGCGGCGUGCCUAAUACAUGCAAGUAGAACGCUGAAGGAGGAGCUUGCUUCUCCGGAUGAGUUGCGAACGGGUGAGUAACACGUAGGUAACCUGCCUGGUAGCGGGGGAUAACUAUUGGAAACGAUAGCUAAUACCGCAUAACAGUAGAUAUUGCAUGAUAUCUGCUUGAAAGGUGCAAUUGCCUCACUACCAGAUGGCCCUGCGUUGUAUUAGCUAGUUGGUGGGGUAACGGCUCACCAAGGCGGCGAUACAUAGCCGACCUGAGAGGGUGAUCGGCCACACUGGGAAUGAGACACGGCCCAGGCUCCUUCGGGAGGGAGCAGUAGGGGAUCUUCGGCAAUGGAGGGAAGUCUGACCGAGCAACGCCGCGUGAGUGAAGAAGGUUUUCGGAUCGUAAAGGUCUGUUGUAAGAGAAGAAAGAGUGUGAGAGUGGAAAGUUCACACUGUGACGGUAUCUAACCAGAAAGAGACGGCUAACUACGUG
rnacentral:rRNA from 1 species